CACUUUGUUACUCAGAGCCAUAGAUAGGGAGUGAUGUUAUGUUCACUUUGUUACCCAGAGCCAUAGAUAGGGAGUGAUGUUAUGUUCACUUUGUUACUCGGAGCCAUAGACAGGGAGACCAUCUGUGCUGCUUGUGGUCAUGGCCUCAAGACAAGCCACCAGCAAUAUCAGUAGUACAAUCAGUGGUAGUACUUUGUGUUGUUGUAGUUUUAUCUUAUCAAUUUAUAUGAGUGUUACUUGUAUUCCCAGACUGGCCCUGUAACGUAACACCACCAAGCUCCAAAGAUCAAAACCUGGCCCUCCAAGUAUGAGUCAGGGCAGCCGACCAACACAGCCACCGAUGAGCUGGAAGGUCACUGCACCAGAGGCCACUUCUGCAGCACUGUGCCUGAUGCCCCGGACCCAUGAAACCUUGUCUCUCGGCCGACCCAAGCCAUCGUGUGUGUGUCAGCGCAGAGACACACCAGGAACACAUGACAGCCCUCGGCCCCCACCUCAGCGCUGCUCCUGUGCUGCUACAUUGAAUUUUCUACUGAUGGAGAAGGGAAGAGAGAAGGAGAGAAGAGAGAAUCCCGUCUGACAAGUAUCUUCCUCCUCCCUUCUUCUCUUCUUUGCAACAAAUAGAUGAUGAAAUGAAGAGGAGGAGGAGGAGGAGGAGGAGGGGGAGGAGGGGGAGGAGGAGGAGGAAGAAAUGAAGAAGAAAUGAAGAGGAGGAGGAGGAGGAAGAAGAGAAGAAGAAAUGAAGAGGUGGAGGAGGAAGAAGAGAAGAAGAAAUGAAGAGGUGGAGGAGGAAGAAGAGAAGAGGAGGAAGAAGAGAAGAUAUGAAGAGGAGGAAGAAGAAAAGAAGAGGAAGAAGAGAAGAUAUGAAGAGGAGGAAGAAGAAAAGAAGAGGAAGAAGAGAAGAAAUGAAGAGGCGGAAGAAGAGAAGAUAUGAAGAGGCGGAAGAAGAAAAGAAGAGGAGGAAGAAGAAAAGAAGAGGAGGAGGAGGAAGAAGAAAAGAAGGAAGAAAUGAAGAUGGUCACACUAGAAGAAUCUCUCUCUCUCUCUCUCUCUCUCUCUCUCUCUCUCUCUCUCUUCUCUUCUCUUCUCCACAGGACCCACAGAAUGUUCCCCCACAGUAUGUUGACAACCCCCACAGACACAUACCCCCCUGACACAUAACUAACUAUAAAGUCCCAAGCUUAUCAAUAUAACUACUGCAAUUGACCUCUGUAUAAUGCCCUGACCUUAUCAAUGAAACCACUGCAAAUAACCUCUCUAUAAUGAUCUGACCUGACCUAACCUGACUCUAACAUGUACUGACCUAUUCAAUAAAACAACUGCAAAUAACCAACUCUAUAAUGUCUCCUUAGGGCUUUAGACGAUGUGAAAAGAUUAGUAACAGGAAUAUAUCAAGAAGCAGAAAUAGCAGUUUGAUUUCACCUCGUCUGUACAAAAGAUACAUUAGCCCAUAGAUGACGGCAGUAUCUGAAGAGUAUCUCCCCUGAGCUGAAUCUCUAUAUAUUCACUGCCAACCUUAGGACCGUCGCAUUAAUAUAGUUAAGCCACAUAAUGGAUGUUUUACCUAUCGUCUAUAUAUGGAUUCUACCGGAACAGUCUGGAGGUGGUGUUAGCUUUCUGCCAUACAAAACCAACUAAAUUUUGGACCGUCUAUAUAUAGUUCCACCAACGUCUAAGGGUUAAAGUGCGCAUGGCCUCAGUGCUCAUCUCUGUGUCAUUGUCCCGUGAGUCUGCAGGGGCAAGAACCCAGCACCCCGGGACACAGGACAGGGGUGACGUGGGUUUUCCGAGAUCCAUUUAUCGACUCAUCAUGCCUCCGUGGUCUGGUGGUCAGCGUGCCUGGCUACGAAUCCGCGGGCUUGGGUUUGAAUCCCAGCCCAGGUAGAUAAGGUGAAGCCUACUCAGAUGAUCAUCCUCCCUUUGUUGUUUGGUUUGGUUUGAUCGUUACGAAUGGGGGGAUCGAUGCUGUAGUAUUUCCACGUAAAACUGGCCUAUGGGGUAGUGGAGGCUGCGGGGUUAGCCUAGCCCAGCACCUUACCACACACUCUCAACACCUCUCGCUUCGCCUGCAGCCAAAACUACGAUCGCCGCCAUUGGUAACCAUCAAAACAAACAAAAUGACUGUGAAAGCUACCCUAAGUUUUGACAGAUAACACCAGCAAAAUGACAUACCCUUAGAGACUGGCGGUGGGCUUACAAAGGGCUACAAAGUUAUUUAAAUAUACUCCAACUCCUGAGUGGUGGUUUUGCAGGCAUCAAGAAUCAAUUUUGGUAAUGAAUCAAGAAUGUCUGCCUUUUAGAAACCCAGAAGUUUGUGACGUUUCAAGGUUAUAAUCGCAUGUGAGUGAGUGUUUCUACCCGUGAUAUUAAAUUUUGUUACAGCUUGUGGUCUCUUAGUGGUACAAGUAUGCGUUUAACCAGGCAUUCAGUAAACUAAUAUAAGCUGUGUGUGUGUGCUUGUAUACGCCAUUAAGAUAUAUUAGGACACAUGUUCAGUACGGGAGAGACAUGGAGACAGGGCUUGGGGGUGGCAUGGCAACUCACACACAACUCAGAUAUUUCUAAAGGUCAAAGGGGGCAUCAGUCAGGUUCCGAUGAGUGUUUUUAAAGGUUCACGGUACAGAGGAAGGGUCACACUACCACCAGGGUCAUAAAACUACCCCUGGAAAUGUUCAAAACUCCUACGAAAGCCUUGUCAAAUGUGUGUUUCUUUAGGUUCACGGUACAGAGGAAGGGUCACACUACCACCAGGGUCAUAAAACUACCCCUGGAAAUGUUCAAAACUCCUACGAAAGCCUUGUCAAAUGUGUGUUUCUUUAGGUUCACGGUACAGAGGAAGGGUCACACUACCACCAGGGUCAUAAAACUACCCCUGGAAAUGUUCAAAACUCCUAUGAAAGCCUUGUCAAAUGAGCGAACUUGGGUGGCGAAAUGUUUCAAAAUAUGACCUAGUGACCCAUCGU